rnacentral:rRNA from 1 species
UACGUAGGGUGCAAGCGUUAUCCGGAAUUAUUGGGCGUAAAGAGCUCGUAGGCGGUUUGUCGCGUCUGCUGUGAAAACCCGAGGCUCAACCUCGGGCCUGCGGUGGGUACGGGCAGACUAGAGUGCGGUAGGGGAGAUUGGAAUUCCUGGUGUAGCGGUGGAAUGCGCAGAUAUCAGGAGGAACACCGAUGGCGAAGGCAGAUCUCUGGGCCUGUUCUGACGCUGAGGAGCGAAAGCGUGGGGAGCAAACAGG